CAGUAAUUUUGACCUCAAGUCUUAUUAUUUAAGAUAGGGAUAUUACUGCCAUAGAUAAUGAUUCCUCUGAUGGAUCUGGGCAAAGUCAAUUGAAAACCUUCUGGAUAGGAUCCACCAUUCUAGAUGCCGUUAACAUUCAAGAUUCAUGGGAGGAGGUCAAAAUAUCAACAUUGACAGUUUUGAAGAAGUUGAUUACAACUCUCAUGGAUGAUUUUUUUUGGGUUCAAUAUUUCAGUGGAGGAAGUCACUGCAAAUGUCAUGGAAAUUGCAAAAGAUCUAUAAUUAGAAGUGGAGCCUGAAGUUAUACAAUCCCAUGACAAAACUUGAACAAAUGAGUGGUUGCUUCUUAUGGAUGAGCAAAGAAAGUGGUUUCUUGGGAUGGAAUCUAUUCCUGGUGAAGAUGCUGUGAACCUUACUGAAAUUACCACAAAGGAUUUAGAAUAUUCUAUAAACUUAAUUGAUAAAGCAAUGGCAGGGUUUUAGAGGAGUGACUCCAAUUUUGAAAGAAGUUCUACCGUGGGGGAAAAUGCUAUCAAACAGUAUCACAUGCUAUAGAGAAAUCUUUGUGAAAGGAAGAGCCAAUCAAUGCAGCAAACUUCAUUGUUGUCUUAUUUUAAGGAAUUGCCACAACCACCCCAACCUUUAGCAACCACAACCCUGAUCAGUCAGCAGCCAUCAACAUCAAGGCAAGAUCCUCCAUCAGCAAAAAGAUUACAACUUGCUGAAGACUCAGAUGAUCAUCAGCAUUUUUUAACAGUAAAGUAUUUUUAAAGUUGGAUGUCACUGAGGAUAGUCACUGA
rnacentral:lncRNA from 10 species